AAACGCGAUAAGGGCGCACGGGGGAUGCCUGGGUGUCAGGUGCCGAUGAAGGACGUGGUACACUGCGAAAAGCUCCGGUGAGCCGUGUGCAGGCGCAAGAGCCGGAGAUGUCCGAAUGGGGAAACCCGGCGGGGGUCAUGCCCCGUCACUUCCCGGAAGGGAAGAGGGAACCGGGGGAACUGAAACAUCUUAGUACCCCGAGGAAAAGAAAGGAUUCCGCGAGUAGUGGCGAGCGAAAGCGGAGGAGCCCAAACCGUCGCUUACGGGCGGCGGGGUAGGAGGCGUCGCGAGAAACAGCGCCCGGACGGAAGGGGAACGGUCUGGGAAGGCCGGCCAGAGAGGGUGAGAGCCCCGUACUCGUAACGGAGGGGUGCUGGAGCGAAGAGCCUGAGUACCGCAGGGCACGCUAACCCGGCGGGAAGCAGGGCCGUCCACGGCCCAAGGCUAAAUACACCUGAUAACCGAUAGCGCACAAGUACGGUGACGGAACGGUGAAAAGAACCCCGGCGAGGGGAGUGAAAGAGAACCUGAAACCGUGCGCCUACAACCGGUCAGAGCCUCGAGAGAGGUGAUGGCGUGCCUUUUGGAGCAUGAGCCAGCGAGUUCAUGGCCGUAGCCAGCUUAAGGGAGGGACACCCGGAGGCGGAGCGAAAGCGAGUCUGAAGAGGGCGACUAGUUGCGGUCAUGAGACACGAAACCAGGUGAGCUACCCAUGGGCAGGGUGAAAGUCCGGUAACACGGACGGGAGGCCCGAACCCACCAGUGUUGCAAAACUGGGGGAUGACCUGUGGGUAGGGGUGAAAUGCCAAACGAACCUGGAGAUAGCUUGUUCUCCCCGAAAUCGCUUUAGGGCGAGCGUUGCCUGAUGACUGCCGGAGGUAGAGCACUGACUGGGCUAGGGGGCGUCAAGCUUACCGAACCCAAUCAAACUACGAAUGCCGGCAGGGAAGGGCGGCAGUUGGACCACGGGAGAUGAGUUUCGUGGUCGAGAGGGAAACAGCCCAGACCCGCGGCUAAGGUCCUGAAGUCCAUGCUAAGUGGGAAACGCUGUGGUCGUGUCGAGACAGCCAGGAGGUUGGCUUAGAAGCAGCCAUCCUUGAAAGAGUGCGUAACAGCUCACUGGUCGAACGCGACUGCGCGGAAAAUGGAACGGGGCUGAAGCAUGGCACCGAAGCCGGGGAUACGCUCCGGAAGGAGCGGCAUGGUAGGGGAGCGUCCUGCCAGCGGAGAAGGCGUCCUGGCAAGGGAUGUUGGAGCGGGCAGGAGUGAGAAUGCUGGCAUGAGUAGCGAGAAACAUGUGAGAACCAUGUUCGCCGAAAGUCGAAGGUUUCCGACGGAAGGUCAGUCCGCGUCGGGUUAGUCGGGCCUAAGCCGAGGCUGGAAAGCGUAGGCGAUGGACAACCGGUGAAUAUUCCGGUACCGAUGGAGUGGAGGCGAUGGCGUGCGCGUUGGGAAAGGUCAGCCUCUGAGUGGAUUGAGGUGGCAAGCAGGGAAAGCCUGUGAUGCCGGGCCGCAAGGCCAGAAGUGACUGUACCCGGGGCCGAGAAAAGCGCCAUGGCUGGAGAAACUCCGUCGCCCGUACCACAAACCGACACAGGUCGACGAGUAGAGAAUACUAAGGCGAACGGGAGAACGCGCGCUAAGGAACUCGGCAAAAUGGCCCCGUAACUUCGGGAGAAGGGGCGCCUGGGAGACCAGGCCGCAGAGAAGUGGCUCUACCGACUGUUUACCAAAAACACAGGUCUCUGCCAACGCGAAAGCGGACGUAUAGGGGCUGACGCCUGCCCAGUGCCGGAAGGUUAAGAGGAGGGGUGACAAGCUCCGAAUUGAAGCCCCGGUGAACGGCGGCCGUAACUAUAACGGUCCUAAGGUAGCGAAAUUCCUUGUCGGGUAAGUUCCGACCCGCACGAAAGGCGUAACGAGUGGAGCGCUGUCUCAGCGCGCGACCCGGCGAAAUUGAAGUACGCGUGAAGAUGCGCGUUACCCGCAGCUGGACAAAAAGACCCCGUGGAGCUUUACUGCAGUUUGCCAUUGCGUUAGGCCACUGCUUGUGUAGGAUAGCUGGGAGGCAAAGAAGCCUGGGCGCCAGCCUGGGUGGAGCCGGCGGUGAAAUACCAGCCUGGGAGUGGCUUGGCCCUAACCCGACGUCGACAGCCGGCGCGGGGACCGUGGCAGAUGGGCAGUUUGACUGGGGCGGUCGCCUCCUAAAAGGUAACGGAGGCGUUCAAAGGUCGGCUCAGGCUGAAUGGAAACCAGCCAGAGAGUGCAAAGGCAGAAGCCGGCUUGACUGCAAGGCCGACGCGCCGAGCAGAGGGGAAACCCGGACUUAGUGAUCCUACGGCGCCGAGUGGAAGGGCCGUAGCUUACCGGAUAAAAGCUACCCCGGGGAUAACAGGCUGGUCUUGUCCAAGAGUUCACAUCGACGACAAGGCUCGGCACCUCGAUGUCGGCUCAUCGCAUCCUGGGGCUGGAUCAGGUCCCAAGGGUUGGGCUGUUCGCCCAUUAAAGCGGUACGUGAGCUGGGUUCAGACCGUCGUGAGACAGGUCGGUCUCUAUCCGCUGUGGGCGUCAGGAGUUUGCGAGGCGCUGCCCCUAGUACGAGAGGACCGGGGUGGACGGAGCGCUCGUGUGCCGGUUGUGCCGCCAGGCGCAGUGCCGGGUAGCGAUCUCCGGAACGGAUAACCGCUGAAAGCAUCUAAGUGGGAAACCGACCUCAAGAUGAGACUCCUCACCGGGAGACCGGGUAAGACCGCUGGGAGACGACCAGUUGGAUAGGCCGGAGGUGGAAGGGCAGUAAUGUCUGGAGCCGACCGGUACUAAAGGUCGAGGGCGUUUU
rnacentral:rRNA from 1 species